UACGUAGGCAGCGAGCGUUGUUCGGAGUUACUGGGCGUAAAGGGUGUGUAGGCGGUUGUUUAAGUUUGGUGUGAAAUCUCCCGGCUCAACUGGGAGGGUGCGCCGAAUACUGAAUGACUUGGAGUGCGGGGAGAGGUGAGUGGAAUUCCUGGUGUAGCGGUGAAAUGCGUAGAUAUCAGGAGGAACACCGGUGGUGUAGACGGCUCACUGGACCGUAACUGACGCUGAGACACGAAAGCGUGGGUAGCAAACAGG
rnacentral:rRNA from 1 species